GAUUUCUGGUUUGGUGCGCGCGGUCCGCUGCGGUUUCGUAGCGUGUGCUGUUGUGCGCCUGCCAUCGUUUGAGGCAGGGGCGUGCUCUUCACUGGGUGCGUCUUUAUCUCAAUCUUUUACUUUGAAAAAAUUAGAGUGUUCAAAGCAGGCUUGCGCUAUGAAUACAUUAGCAUGGAAUAAUAAUAUAGGACUUCUGUUCUAUUUUGUUGGUUUCUAGGAUGGAAGUAAUGAUUGAUAGGGACAGUUGGGGGUGCUAGUAUUCAGAGGCCAGAGGUGAAAUUCUUGGAUUCUCUGAAGACUAACUUAUGCGAAAGCAUU
rnacentral:rRNA from 2 species